rnacentral:rRNA from 1 species
AGUGAACGCUGGCGGUAGGCCUAACACAUGCAAGUCGAACGGCAGCACAGUAAGAGCUUGCUCUUACGGGUGGCGAGUGGCGGACGGGUGAGGAAUACAUCGGAAUCUACUUUUUCGUGGGGGAUAACGUAGGGAAACUUACGCUAAUACCGCAUACGACCUACGGGUGAGAGCAGGGGAGCUUCGGACCUUGCGCGAUUGAAUGAGCCGAUGUCGGAUUAGCUAGUUGGCGGGGUAAAGGCCCACCAAGGCGACGAUCCGUAGCUGGUCUGAGAGGAUGAUCAGCCACACUGGAACUGAGACACGGUCCAGACUCCUACGGGAGGCAGCAGUGGGGAAUAUUGGACAAUGGGCGAAAGCCUGAUCCAGCCAUACCGCGUGGGUGAAGAAGGUCUUCGGGUUGUAAAGCCCUUUUGUUGGGAAAGAAAAGCAGCAGGUUAAUACCCCGAUGUUCUGACGGUACCCAAAGAAUAAGCACCGGCUAACUUCGUG